rnacentral:rRNA from 1 species
AUUGAACGCUGGCGGCAGGCCUAACACAUGCAAGUCGAGCGGAUGAAGGGAGCUUGCUCCUGAAUUCAGCGGCGGACGGGUGAGUAAUGCCUAGGAAUCUGCCUGGUAGUGGGGGAUAACGUCCGGAAACGGGCGCUAAUACCGCAUACGUCCUGAGGGAGAAAGUGGGGGAUCUUCGGACCUCACGCUAUCAGAUGAGCCUAGGUCGGUUUAGCUAGUUGGUGGGGUAAAGGCCUACCAAGGCGACGAUCCGUAACUGGUCUGAGAGGAUGAUCAGUCACACUGGAACUGAGACACGGUCCAGACUCCUACGGGAGGCAGCAGUGGGGAAUAUUGGACAAUGGGCGAAAGCCUGAUCCAGCCAUGCCGCGUGUGUGAAGAAGGUCUUCGGAUUGUAAAGCACUUUAAGUUGGGAGGAAGGGCAGUAAGUUAAUACCUUGCUGUUUUGACGUUACCAACAGAAUAAGCACCGGCUAACUUCGUG